UGUCAAACAUGCCUUGCACUUCUGUCUUCUGCAAAUGAAAUCCGACUUCGAUUAAGACCUUCUUCAUCCGGAUUGGGAUUCAGACAGUAUGGUUCCCAUUUUUGAGUGUGACCGAGAUUUCUUCUCAGAGAUCCUACACUUUCUUCCUCACAUUCCCGAACAAGUGUGUGGAGUUCUGGUUGUGUCUCGCCGAAUUACUGUGUAUUUUUGUACUGAACCUCUACAACUCUGCCGGAAAAAUAUUAUAAGUAAAGAAGAAAAAUAACCGCCUCUUCAACUCUGCAGUCUGCAAUUAGGUAGACUCAUCUGCUUCAUCUGGAUGGUGGAAGAGCCCGCCAGCAAAGACAGAAGCUAGAAGAAAGAAUGAUAGACCAUCAAAAGACUUUUGUCUUGGCCUAUCCAUGUCUCUUUCGCUAUCGCUCUACGGGUGUUCUCGUGUUCGAAUUUGAGAAAUCGGAUUUGAACAUUACAGAGAUGAGAUGUAUGGAAGUGACUAGAGAUAAUAUUGGAUGGGAUCCUGAGGCUUUCUCCGAAAAUGUACCUAUACCCUUCGGGAGUUGGGUUGACUGUACAGCUUUUGAUCCUAUUCUUGUUAUGAUUGUGGAGGGAGAUGACGCUGUUCAAAAAGUUCGUGAAUCGAUAUCCAAGAAGCAACAACCACCCUUCUGGAUUGUCAAGUAAGCUUAAAACUCGUCGCUGUUUUCAAUUUAUUUCAAUUCCAAAACAACCUAUUCACCAUACAGAAUCACGACUGUACAAAAUCCAUGUCAAGAUUUGUUGUUAUGCCGAACCUCUAGUCCUGCAUAAUGAGAAUUACAGGAAAUCCAUGGUGUACAGAAAUGAGGUUGUAUGAUGUGAACAUUGCAAAAAAAUAGAGACUCAACUCCCGUUUCCUAGAUCAUCAUGUUUCAGUUUUUCUCUUUUAGUGGCCAAUGAGUUAGACUAAUCCUUAUCUUACUUAAACAUACAAUUUUUUGGAGAACUUUUGUAUCUGACAUUCAAGUCAACCUAGACUUGAGCGGUGACUCUCCAUUUUUGGGCCUACGAGAAAUCAUUGGUGAUCACUGUCCAUUUGCAUCAUAAAGCACUCUCUUUUAUGUGAUUAUGAAAGCUACCAAUUUCUGCAUGUAUAUAUUCAUAAUGAAGCACCCAACCAUGGCCGUAUAUGUUAAUGAACAUUGGGAACUAAUAGCCAACAAUCAUAAGAAGGACAGGAUCUGUCUAAAGGUUAAGUCUCCAAGUCCAAAGUGAAUGAGUAGUUUACAUGACUCACAGGAGGACCUUUUAUCGUUUUGCAUGUUUACUUUUAAUGGCAUAAAGCAUCUGCUAUCUGUGCAUUAUAUAUCUCCAUUUCUAUGUGACUGGAGAAAGACGGUCUGCACCAGCGAUUCAUGGGAGGCGAAACCAGAAGAUACUGAAAUAUGGAGAGAGGCUGUCCACCAGCAAUUCAUGGGAGCAGGCAAAAAUAUAUAUUGAUUUGUGGUUCGGUUCCAUUGACUUUAACGAAACCACGAAACCAUAGACUUUGACAAAGCAGUUCGUCAAAGUAAAAAGGUAGUAAUCGUGCUUCCAGGGGGGAACAUAUACGGCCCAUUGCACGAAGUAAAAGAUAUAUGGAAGCUAGAUGCCUCCUACGAGAUAAAACAGGACUUUAAAGCCAAUUUUUUCAUGGAAAAGAUGUGUCUUAUUAAUCAAGCCUUUAGCUUCCCUGGAGCGUUGUGUUGGUGAAAUUUUGGAUGCUAUUGAGGCCAACAGUUUCGGCAUCAGGGGUGUGCUAGUAACCCUGCAUCUCUGGUUUUAUUUAAUGACGUACUUAAUUUUGGUAUCAUGCUCAAAUCAGUUGUGUUGCGGUUGUGUAAUUAAACUUAAUGUUAGGUUUAAAGCUUGUGAAAAAAGCUAAACACCCUAGCAUGGCGUGGCCUACUGAUUCUGUUUCAUACGGAGAUGCGUAUGGUGUUGCCGUGGUUGUUUAUAAUUUCAAAUCAAGUUUUAAGAUUGUGCCCGGGGAUUCAAAUAUCAAGAAUAUCAACUGUAGGAAGAAAGUGUCUGAAAUUAGCAGCAACUACCUUUACAAACGCGAGCUAUUGGAAGCUGCUUCCGAUUUUUUUGAGUAUGGAUUUAAUGUUUGGACACGGGAAGAUGAAUGUAUGUUUGAGGCAUCUUGGUCUCAUCCCGUUGCUGUAAUUAAUUUUACAUGUUCUCUUUCUAUUUACUAGUAUAACAAGCACGUGCGAUGCGCCUGCCGCUCUUUCUAAA